AUGGACAGGCCCAGGGUUCAGCCGCCACCGACGCCAGGUGAGAGGGGUUGCUCCUUCCUCGACCUCCCCACCGCAAGGCUCUGCGCGUCUUCCUCUCUCUGUCUCCCUCGCUCUGUCUCCCUGUCUCCCUUGCUCUGUCUCCCUGUUUCCCUCGCUCUGUCUCCCUCUGUCUCCCUCGCUCUGUCUCCCUCUGCCUCCCCUCUCUCUUUCUCCCUCUCCCUCUCUCCCUGUCUCUCUCUCUCUCCCUUUUUCUCUGUCCCUCUCCUCAGCUCUCUCCUUCUCUCUUCUCCCUCCUCGACCCCCUUCCUCUUCCUGUCUCUCCUCCCUAUCGCUCUCCCUCUCUCUCCUCCACCUUCCCCAUCUCUCCCUGUCUCUCAUCUGUCUCUUCCUUGCACCCCUUCUCUGUGUCUCUGUCUCCUUCCCCCAACUUUCUCUCAGUCUCCCUCAGCAACCCCUUCUCUUUCUUACUCUCCCUCUUCUCCCCCAUCUCUCUGUCUUUCCCUGGCUUGGUAUCUCCGUAUCUCUCUGUCUCCUCUCUAUCUCUAUCUCUAUCUCUGUGUCUCCCCUACUUCUCUCCAUCUGUCUCUCCCCCUUCUGUCUCUCCCCCACUUCUCUCCAUCUCUGUCUCUCCCCCACUUCUCUCAUCUCUCUCUCCCCCACUUCUAUCUCUGCCUCUCUCACACUUCUCUCCAUCUGUCUCUUCCCCACUUCUAUCUCUGUCUCUUCCCUACUUCUCUCAUCUCUAUCUCUCCCCCACUUCUGUCUCUCCCCCACUUCUCUCCAUCUGUCUCUUCCCCACUUCUAUUUCUGUCUCUCCCCCACUUCUCUCCAUCUCUGUCUCUCCCCCACUUCUCUCAUCUCUCUUUCCCCACUUCUAUCUCUGUCUCUCCCCCACUUAUCUCUGUUCCCCACUUCUAUCUCUUCCCCACUUCUCUCCAUCUCUGUCUCUCCCCCACUUCUCCCCACUUCUCUCCAUCUGUCUCUCCCCCACUUCUCUCAUCUCUAUCUCUUUCCCCACUUCUAUCUGUCUCUCCUCCACUUCUAUCUCUGUCUCUCCCCCACUUCUAUCUCUGUCUCUCCCCCACUUAUCUCUAUCUGUUCCCCACUUCUAUCUGUCUCUUCCCCACUUCUCUCCAUCUCUGUCUCUCCCCCACUUCUCCCCACUUCUCUCCAUCUGUCUCUCCCCCACUUCUCUCAUCUCUCUUUCCCCACUUCUAUCUCUGUCUCUCCUCCACUUCUAUCUCUGUCUCUCCCCCACUUCUGUCUCUCCCCCACUUAUCUCUAUCUGUUCCCCACUUCUAUCUCUGUCUCUCCCCCACUUCUCUCAUCUCUAUCUCUUCCCCACUUCUAUCUCAUCUCUGUCUCUCCCCCACUUCUCCCCACUUCUCUCCAUCUCUGUCUCUCCCCCACUUCUAUCUCUGUCUCUUCCCCACUUCUAUCUCUGUCUCUUCCCCACUUCUCUCAUCUCUUUCUCUCCCCCGCUUCUAUCUCUGUCACUCCCCCACUUCUCUGUCUCUGCCUCUCCCAUUUCUCUGUCUCUUCCCCCAUUUCUCUGCCUGUCUCUCCCCCUAUUUCUCUGUCUCUGUCUCUCCCCCUAUUUCUCUGUCUCUGUCUGUCUCUCCUGUCUCUCUCUGAGUCCUCCUCUCUCCCCAGCUCUCCAGAUGAAGUCCUCCCGGGCCUCUGCGGUCCCUGCUGAAUAAAGCUGUUUCUGUCCUCACCUCUCUCCCUUCUGCGCCUCCUUCUUUCCUUCCUCGCUCCUCUGCCUCUCAGCUCGGCCCCAAGCCCUGAUCCUGGGUCUAGGGGGUGGGAAUCCCAGAGCUGGGUAUGGGGGCUCCUCCCUCCCAGAGACAGAGAUGGAUGCAGAGAGAGAACCAGUGACAGGCACGGAGAGAGAGCAAGAGACCAAGCGACACAGAGACAAGAUGGGGCCAUAAGCUCAGAGAUGAGAGAUGGCAGGUCAGAGAUACAGCUCGUGAGAGACAGGGAGACAGAGACUUAGAGACCCAGAGACAGAGAGACCAGGCAGCACCCCCGCCCCGAUACACACAGACACAGGGGACAAGGGCCGGGCAGGGCUGGGCAGCCUCCCCUGCCCCUUCAGGCCUGGCCUGGCGUCCCCGCCCCGAUACACACAAACAGACACAGGGGACAAGGGCCAGGCAGGGCUGGGCAGCCUCCCCUCCCCCUUCAGGCCAGGCCAUGCCAGGCCAGGCAGUGCCAGGCCCAGGACAAUGGCCCCUUGUCAGGGCUCCAGAGGAGUUGGCCAGCUGGGGAGGCCUGUGGGCUGGGCCGUGGAGGAGGGGCGGCCACAGACGCCAGGUUGGUGGGGUGCACCUCCUGGGGGCCUGGCCCAGAGCCUCCACCCUCAGACUCCCCUCCUCCCCUGGCCUCCCUUCCUGGGGUCCCCCACCUGCUUCCAGCUUGCUUUCUCUGCUCUGCCUGGGGAAGGGAACAGGCAUUUAUGGAGCACCUGCCGUAUGCAUCCACAAGGCCUCCCUGCCUCUCCUCACACUUCCGCCUCCCACCUCCCUGUCCUGUCCUGGGCACCCACUUCUUGUUCCUCCUGUGAAAUGGGCAAUUAUUAAGCACCUGAAGCUUGGCAGACAAUUCCCGUAACCCAUCUGCACCUUCCAUCCUCCUGGCUUUCCUGUCCCUUCCACCCAGUUCCUUUCUCUUUCUGAUUUGCUUGGUCUCCCCUGGGAAGGCAACGGGCAUCUACUGAGCAUCUACUGUGUACCAAGGAGCUUAGGAACACUGGCUGCUCUCUUCCUACAUCCUUUUCUUCCCCCACUCCUUUCUUUCCUCUCUCUUUUUUUUUUCUUGUUUUUGAGACAAGGUCUCGCUCUGUCACCCAGGCUGGAUCGCAGUCACACAGUCGAGGCUCACUGCAGCCGCAACCUCCUGCGCUCAAGCGAUCCUCUACCCCGGCCCCCCAAGUAGCUGGAACUCCAGGCACCACCAUGUCUGGCUAAUUUUUGUAUUAUUAUUAUUAUUGCUUGAGGCGGAGUUUUGUUCUUGUCACCCAGGCUGGAGUGCAAUGAUGCGAUCUCAGCUCACUUCAAUGUCCACCUCCUGGAUUCAAGCAAUUCUCCCGCCUCAGCUUCCUGAGUAGCUGGGAUUACAGGCACCCAUCACUACACCCGGCUGAUUUUUUGUAUUUUUAACAGAGAUGGGGUUUCACCAUGUCGGUUGGGCUGGUCUUGAACUCCUGACCUCAGGUGAUCCACCCACCUCAGCCCCCACAGUGCUGGGAUUACCAGCGUGAGCCGCCUCACCGGGGCUUUCUUCCCUCUGUGGGUUUCCUCUCCUUUCUGACGUUCUGCUGUCUCCUGGCAGAGGGGGUGGACACACUGUGAGCACUUCCUGUGUACCAGGCACUGUACGUACCUCUCUCCUCGCCCUCUUCCCACCCGGUUCCUCUUCUGUCCUCUCCUUGUGUUUCUGUGCUCUCUGCCCUCUUCCAAGGCAAGGACUACACUUAUUGAGCACUUCUGGUAUGCACACAGUUCUGUCCUUUCUCUACUCUCCUCUUGCCCUUCAGUCUCCACUGAUGCCACCAGUCUCUGCUGCUUUCUGCACUCUGCCAGGGAAGAAAAUGGGCAUUUAUUGAGCACCUACUGUGUCCCCCGUGGCUCACCCGCACCGCUCCCUCCCCACGCAUCCUCUCCUCUGCCCCUCCACCCCCACGGAGGCCUCCUGGGCCAACACUUUUCCUCUUGUUCCUGUCUGAGCCUUCAUUUCCAUCUUGUUCUCGAGGAAGACAAUGUGCAUUUAUUGAGUGCCUCCUGUGUGCCCACCGCUCACCAGAGCACUUGUUCUCAUUUCCUCUCUUCCCCCUACCUCCUUCUCUCCUCCAGCUUCUCCCUUUCCUCUCUGCCCUGCCAGCUCUUUCCUGGGGGAGGAAACAGGCAAGACUGAGUGCCUGCUGUAUGCUGCCCCUUCAUCCCCACCGUCUGCUUGCCUCACAGGCUCUGUUCUCCCUUCUCUCCUUCUCUCUGCUUGCUCCCUUCCUCCUGGCUGCUUGCUCUGUGCCUGCUGCCAGGAAGUCUGUGCUUGCUGCCAGUAAGGAGAAUGGGCAUUUAUUAGGCACCUACUGUGUAUUAGUCACUUUACGUAUAUUGUCUCCUUCCCACGCAAGUCUCUUCUGUUCUCUCUGCUGGAGUUUCUUCCUCCUCCUCCUCCUCACCCUCCUCCUCCUCUCCCUUCUCCUCCUCUCCUCACUCCUCCUUUACUUUCUCCUGUCUCUUGGGGAAAAGAACACUUAACAGACAGACACCUACUGUCUGCNNNNNNNNNNNNNNNNNNNNNNNNNNNNNNNNNNNNNNNNNNNNNNNNNNNNNNNNNNNNNNNNNNNNNNNNNNNNNNNNNNNNNNNNNNNNNNNNNNNNGCCACCAGUCUCUGCUGCUUUCUGCACUCUGCCAGGGAAGAAAAUGGGCAUUUAUUGAGCACCUACUGUGUCCCCCGUGGCUCACCCGCACCGCUCCCUCCCCACGCAUCCUCUCCUCUGCCCCUCCACCCCCACGGAGGCCUCCUGGGCCAACACUUUUCCUCUUGUUCCUGUCUGAGCCUUCAUUUCCAUCUUGUUCUCGAGGAAGACAAUGUGCAUUUAUUGAGUGCCUCCUGUGUGCCCACCGCUCACCAGAGCACUUGUUCUCAUUUCCUCUCUUCCCCCUACCUCCUUCUCUCCUCCAGCUUCUCCCUUUCCUCUCUGCCCUGCCAGCUCUUUCCUGGGGGAGGAAACAGGCAAGACUGAGUGCCUGCUGUAUGCUGCCCCUUCAUCCCCACCGUCUGCUUGCCUCACAGGCUCUGUUCUCCCUUCUCUCCUUCUCUCUGCUUGCUCCCUUCCUCCUGGCUGCUUGCUCUGUGCCUGCUGCCAGGAAGUCUGUGCUUGCUGCCAGUAAGGAGAAUGGGCAUUUAUUAGGCACCUACUGUGUAUUAGUCACUUUACGUAUAUUGUCUCCUUCCCACGCAAGUCUCUUCUGUUCUCUCUGCUGGAGUUUCUUCCUCCUCCUCCUCCUCACCCUCCUCCUCCUCUCCCUUCUCCUCCUCUCCUCACUCCUCCUUUACUUUCUCCUGUCUCUUGGGGAAAAGAACACUUAACAGACAGACACCUACUGUCUGCAUCACACUUUCCACCCAUGCCCCUCUCUCACUCUAUUUUUUUUAGUCGGAGUCUCGCUCUGUCGCCCAGGCUGGAGUGCAGUGGCACAAUCUCAUCUCACUGCAACCUCUGCCUCCCGAGUUGAAGCGGAGAUUAUGGGCACCCGCCACCAUGGGUGCCUCAGCCUCCCAAGUAGCUAGGAUUACAGGUGUGCACCACCACAUUCCGGUAAUUUUUUUGAAACGAGGUUUCACUGUGUUACCCAGGCUGGUCUGGAACUCCUGACCUCAGGUGAUUCACCCGCCUCGGCCUCCCAGAGUGCUGGGAUUACAGGCAUGAGCCACUGCGCCUGGCUCCAUGCCCCUCUCUUGAGGCUGCCUAUCCUCCUGCUUUUCCUCUGCGGGAGUUUCUUCUCCUUUUUCACGUGGUCCUGGAGGGAAUGUGCAUUCAUUGAGCACUGACUGUGUGCCAGGCUUUUUAUAUGCACAGCCUCCCCUUCUCUCCCUCUGUUCCCUUUCCCUUCCUCACUCUGCCUUCCUGCUCUCUGUGCCUUCUCCUCGGAAAGGAUACCAAUUGAGCACCGACUGUAUACCUGGCGACUCUCUCUAGACCCUUCUUUCCCCUGCCCCUCCAGUCCACUGACUCUCUCUUUUUCUUCCUUCUCAGCAGUAGAAGCUCCAAACCGUUCAGAUGGCAGGAGCUUAGGUUUCCCCAGGAGUUUCAGCCACCACAGCCUAGCAUGGGCAGCCAGCCCGUAGGAAGCAGGAGGAGGGAGGACUCAGGCUGCAGCCUGAUUUCUCCCUUGGAAAAAUAGGCGAUGACAAUGGCCACUCCCUCCCAGGGCAGGGCGGGGUGCGGGAGGCUCAAGGAGGCCUCAAGAGAAUCUAGGAAGGAACGCUCUAGAAUCUGACCUGAGAGGUAGCCCAUGCCCACAGAGGGGACGCUUCUGCCAUACCUGUCACCACACUGGAUUCAAACCUGACCCUCCUUCCUCUGCCUCCGCAGCCUCCCUGCCCUGCAGGUGCUUGGCGGGUGGUCCCUGGAUUCCUCACCACCUGGGGGAGAGCAGAUGAGGAAACUGAGGUCCGGGUGGGGAAGAAGAUUCGC
ensembl:lincRNA